GAUGAACGCUGGCGGCGUGCCUAACACAUGCAAGUCGAACGGAAGGGCGCUGAGUUUGCGGGGUUCACGUUUGGCGAGGAGGGGAGUAUCACGCGAGUAACAUGCCCCUAUCAGUGGGAGAACACCAGGAAACAGGGGCUAAAACCGGAUAGGAGCUCCUGCAGCGCAGGGUGGGUUGGAAAGAGUCGGUGGUUGUGGCAGGUAUAGAUGGUUCCGCGCUUGUUUGGCUAGUUGGUGGUGUAACGGCUUACGAAGGCAAGGAUGCAUAGCCGACCUGGGAGCGUGAUCGGCCACACUGGAACUGAGACACGGUCCAGACGCCUACGGGAGGCAGCAGUAGGGAAUCUUCCGCAAUGGGCGAAAGCCUGACGGAGCAACGCCGCGUUAGUGAUGAAGGUCUUCGGAUCGUAAAACUCUGUUAUUAGGGAAGAACAUAUGUGUAAGUAACUGUGCACAUCUUGACGGUACCUAAUCAGAAAGCCACGGCUAACUACGUG
rnacentral:rRNA from 1 species